rnacentral:rRNA from 1 species
GAUAACAUAAGGGAAAAUAAUGAUAUUACCUUAUUAUUAGUGUCGUCCAAAACUGGUGCCAGAAGACUCGGUAAGGCCAGAGACACAAACGUUAAUCGUCUUAAUCAGGCGUAAAGGGUUUGUAGGCGGCUUUAAAAUUUAGUUACAAAAUAUUUAAGUAAAGAAUAAAAGCUAGAAUCAAAUAGAGGAUAUAUGAAAGAAUGCUUAGAGUAGGUCUGAUAUCUUUAGAUACUAAGUAGAAUAUUAAAGGCGAAAGCUUUUUUCCAUUAAUGAUUGACGCUCAGAAACGAAGGUGAGGAUAGGAAAUAGGAUUAGAUACCCAGAAUACCCCUCUCUGUCAACGAUGAAUGGUAGUUAUUAGUAAAAAUUAUUAAUGGCAAUGUUAACACGAUAACCAUUCCGCCUUGUGAGUACAACUGCAAAGUUGAAAACAAAAAAAUUAGUCGGUUUCGGAGCAAACGAAGUGAAGCAUGUUAUUUAA